rnacentral:rRNA from 1 species
GGAAAGGCUUACGGUGGAUACCUAGGCACUCAGAGAUGAGAAAGGGUGUAGUAAUCGAAGAAAUGCUUCGGGGAGUUGAGAAUAAGCAUAGAUCAGGAGAUUUUCGAAUAGGGCAACCUUUUGAACUGCUGCUGAAUCUAUAGACAGGCAAGAGAUAACUUGGCGAACUGAAACAUCUUAGUAGCUAAGGAAAAACAAAGCAAAAGCGAUUUCCUUAAUAGUGGCAAACGAAAUGGGAGUAGCUAAACCGUGAACGGGGUUGUGGGAAAGCAAUACAAGCAUCGUGCUACUAGGCGAAGCAGCACGAAUGUUGCAUCUUAGAUGGCGAAAGUCCAAAGUCGAAAGCAUAACUAGCUUACUCUCUGACCCGAGUAGCACGGGACACGUGGAAUCCCGUGUGAAGCAGCAAGGAUGACCUUGCAAGGCUAAAUACUCCUGGGUGACAGAUAGCGAAGUAGUACUAUGACGGAAGGGUGAAAAGAACUCCCAUCGAAGAGUGAAAUAGAAUAUGAAACCAUAAGCUCCCAAGCAGUGGGAGGAGCCAAGUCUUUGACCGCGUGCCUAUUGAAGAAUGAGCCGACGACUCAUAGGCAGUGGCUUGCUUAGGGGAAUCCAUCGAAGCCGUAGCGAAAGUGAGUCUUCAUAGGGCAAUUGUCACCGUUUAUGGACCCAAACCUGGGUGACCUAUCAAUGACCAGGAUGAAGCUUGGGUGAAAUUAAGCGGAGGUCCGAACCGACUGGUGUUGAAGAAUCAAUUGAUGAGUGGUUAGAGGUGAAAUGCCAGUCGAACCUAGAGUUAGUUGGUUCUCCUCGAAAUGCGUUGAGGUGUACUAGUUGACUGGACAUCUAGGGGUAAAGCACUGUUUUGUUGCGGGCUGUGAGAGAGGUACCAAAUCGUGGCAAACUCUGAAUACUAGAUAUGACCUCAAAAUAACAGGGGUCAAGGUCAGCUGGUGAGACGAUGGGGGAUAAGCUUUAUCGUCGAGAGGGAAAUAACAUAUUACCAACUAAGGCUCCUAAAUGAUCGUUCAGUGAUAAUGGAGGUAUGGGUGCAGAGACAGCCAGGAGGUUUGCCUAGAAUUAGCUACCCUUGAAAGAGUGCAUAAUAGCUCACUGAUCGAGUGCUCUUGUGCCAAAGAUGAUCAGGGCUAAGCGAUCUAUCGAAACUGUGGGAUGUAAAAAUACAUCGGUAGGGGAGCGUUCUGCUUUAGAAUGAAACCCUCGUGCGAGCAAUGGUGGAAGAAGUAGAGGCGAAAAUGUUUGCUCGAGUAAGAUAAACAUUGAUGAGAAUCCAAUGCCCCGAAACCUAAGGGUUCUCCCACAAGGUUCAUCCACGGAGGGUGAGUCAGGGCUUAAGAUCAGAUCAAAAGGCUUAGUCAAUAGACAACAGGUGAAUAUUCCUGUACUACCCCUUGGUGGUCCUGAGGGACGGAAGAGGCUAGGUUAGCCGAAAGUUGGUUAUCGGUCCGAGAACAUAAAUUGCCCCUGCUUUGUUAGGGUAAGAAGGGUUAGAGAAAAUGCCUCGAGCCAAUGUUCAAGCACUAAGCUCUAUGACAUUAUAGUACCCCACGCCAUACUCCGAGGAAAAGCUCGAACGACCUUUAAACAAAAGGGUACUUGUACCUGAAAUCAACGCAAGUGGGUAGGUAGAGAAUACCUAGGGACGCGAGACAACUCUCUCUAAGGAACUCGGCAAAAUUGCUCUGUAACUUCGGGAGAAGGGGUAUCUCCUCACAAAGGGAGUCACAGUGACCAGGCUCGGAUGACUUUUUACCAAAAUCAUGUCUCCGCAAAGUGAAAGACCAUGUAUAGAGGUUGACGCCUGCCCAGUACCGAAAGGUCAAGGAAGUUGGUGACUUGAUGACAGGGGAGCCGGUGACCGAAGCCUGGUGAACAACGAUCGUAACUAUAACAGUCCUACGGUAGCGAAAUUCCUUAUCGGGUAAGUUCUGACCCGCAUGAAAGGCAUAACGAUAUGGGCAUUGUCUUGGAGAGAGGCUCGAUAAAAUAGACAUGUCUGUGAAGAUGUGGACUACUUGCACCUGGACAGAAAAACCCUAUAAAGCUUCACUAUUCCUUGGGAUUGGGUUUGGGCCUUUCUUGUGCAGCUUAGGUGGAAGGCGAAGAAGGCCUCCGUUCGAGGGGCCCGAACCAUCAUUGAGAUACCACUCCAGAAAAGCUAGAAUUCUAACCUUGUGUUAGGACCUACGGGCCAAGGGAUCGUCUCAGGUAGCAAUUUUUAUGGGGUGUAGGCCUCUUAAAAGGUAGCUGAGACGUGUAAAGAUUUUCUUGGGCCGGACGGAGAUCGGCAUUCGAGUGCAAAAACAGAAAGGAGCUUGACUGUAAGACCCACUCGUCGAGCAGGGACGAAAGUCGGCCUCAGUGAUUUGACGGUGUUGAGUGAAAGGGCCAUCGCUUAACGGAUGAAAGUUACUCUAGGGAUAAUAGGUUGAUCUUCCCCAAGAGCUCACAUUGAAGGGAAUGUUUGGCACCUCGACGUCGGCUCUUCGCUACCUGGGGCUGUAGUAUGUUCCAAGGGUUGGACUGUUCGCCCAUUAAAGUGAUACGUGAGCUGGGUUCAAAACGUUAUGAGAUAGUUCAAUCCAUAUCUGGUAUGGGCGUUAGAACAUUGAGAGGACAUUUCCCUAGUGCGAGAGGAUCGAAAAGGAAGUAUUUCUGGUAUACCAGUUAUCGUGCCCACGAUAAACACUGGGUAGCCAAUUAUAGAGUGAAUAAUUGCUGAAAGCAUCUAAGUAGUAAGCUCACCUCAAGAUGAGUAAGAUAUUUUUACAUGAAUAUUUCUAAGUCAAACUCUUGUUUAUAUAUACAUCUAUUACAUUACAUAUGUAUGUAGGGCAAUUAUGUUUUAAAGUUAAAAUAUACAAUAUUGCUACUAAC